ensembl:lincRNA E030044B06Rik RIKEN cDNA E030044B06 gene
CCCUCGGUCCUUACUUUUCUGUGCAGCAGCUGCUUUGGAGUCACCCCUGCUCCCUGUUUAGAAACAUAGCAGACUACCUGUACCUUUCCAGCUCUCAGAGUUCAGAGACAAGCAGGCACCAGCUGCCAACUAGCGGAUGGAAGGGCCUGGCGCCUCCUGCUACCUGAAAAUAGAAAUCUAGGGCAGGGCCGACUGUGCGUGUGGCUGAAUCAGCAAAGUGCUCCACUGCGAGGACAAUCUUGGCUGAGAUCUGGCCAGGACCCCAUGGGGCGGAGGCGCCUGAUGGCACUCAGUGAUGAUCCCUGGCGCUGCUGCUGAGAGGCCUCAGCGCCCCCACCUCUUCCGGCCGUCCGGCCCGCCUUUUCCUGUAGGAUGCGGCUGCGAUGCGUGCCCUGCGCCUGGGCUGCAAAAGGAUCAAAGACUUGAGUGGGCCGCGCGGCCUCGCCCUGCCAAGGGGGAGCAACUUGUCUAGAGACGCCUGACAGCUUGACAGGCGUGCGGGAGCGCAGUUUGGGAGCCGGCAGGGGGGGCACCCUGCCUCGCGGCACUCCCGUCCGUUGCCUCUAGAUGGCAGGCUUCGAAAUCCCUAAUUGUAAACGCCUCUCGGGCAGCCCUUAACUCCACGUCCAUUGCGAGCGCUCACAGGCGUCGGCCAUGACAGUUACAUCCGGGUAUGAUGCCUAGCCACGGCCUGAGGCUCCGGAAGUGACGUGACGCGGAAGGAUACGCGCUCGACCGAGGGCGGCUGAGGUGAAGAGGCCUCCGGAAGUGGGUGCAAUCGGACUCUGCUGAUGGGACCCCGGCAGUAGGAGGAGCGUGGCCCAUUACACAAGGCCAGUCACUGAGCUCAAAGCCAACCAUGCUGUGCCUUGUUCAAUAAUCGGAGAGACAGAAGCUGUUAUUUUCAUUUCAUAUGUAUUGAGAAACUAAGACCGAGCGAGGGCCAGGGACUUCUCUAAGCCCAUAACCAGGAGUAUUUGACCUAAACUGAAUUCUGUGUUCUUCGUGAUGACUCCCUUUUUGGAAAAAUUAAAUUCCUACCCCUUGUCAUCAUAGAUUGUUGCCCCUGCAAGCCUUUCUUAAGCAUAGUAGCCCAAGCAGUGGUACCUCGACACACCCGUGAUUUUAAUCAAAGAUCAAAUUUUUUAUUCCGGCUUCAUUGGGGGAUAUAGCAUUUUCCUGUACUGGGGAACAAACCUUGGGAAACUGUAGUUUUAAGCAAUUUAUUUCAGACUCAGCACAAUAAAACUUUUGUCUUCUAUCAGC